UGUCUUGACAUUUUCAAGUCCAAGGGUGGAUGUACCGGCCAGAUACUUAAGGCGUAUUUGCAUCAUCAAAUCGCACUGGGGAAUACAGAUGUUACUGCUAAGUGAACAGCAGUCCUCCGUGGCCUUCCCAUCCUCCUUGGAGAUGAGAACAAAGACUUCUUCAAGACAUACUUUGACUGUGAUGAACCUGAACUGGCCAACACCUCCAUUGAGAUCCUAACAGUAAUCCCUGAAGGUACCCCACUUCAAGGAACACACCAACAUUUUGGGUUUUUAGCUUAUUCACUGUAUUCCCCAGAGUUACAUAAGUCCAUACAUACCAUUUU